rnacentral:pre_miRNA from 1 species
UAUAAGGGAUUUUGAGUUUUUGCUUGUACUGUUUGACCACUCAUCUUAUUCAAAAAAUUUUAGAAUUAUUAUUUAUUUUUUUGUGACUUACUUUAUUAUCCAAAAUUCUUUAAGCACAACUUUUCGUUUUUUAUAUUUGCACAAAUUUUUUGAAUAAGACGAGUGGUCAAACAGUGCAAGCGAAAACUCAAAAUCCCUUAUA